rnacentral:rRNA from 1 species
UUUAGGUUGGGGCGACCACGGAGAAAAACAAAACCUCCGAGAUGAAAAGAAUAUCUUAAUUUAAGAACCACAAUUCCAAAAAAUAAAAUAUUUAACAUAAUUGAUCCAAUAUUUUGAUCAACGAACCAAGUUACCCUAGGGAUAACAGCGCAAUCCUCUCCAAGAGUCCCUAUCGACGAGUGGGUUUACGACCUCGAUGUUGGAUCAGGACACCCCGAUGGUGCAGCCGCUAUUAAAGGUUCGUUUGUUCAACGAUUAAAGUCCUACGUGAUGUUCUUUAAUAAGGGGGACCCCCCUCAUGCCUCCCGCCAGGUCCGAUUUUAUUAAUUUGAGCGUAUACCCAAAACGCCGGGGACGGCACGAACCUACCCUAAUAAUAAAAAAAAUACCGACUCAUCGCACUGACUCUUAAAUGUCUAUGCCUGCCUAAUCCCAAUUCAGUGGGGGUGGGGUGGUUAGGGAAAUGGAUGUGCCUGAAAU